UUACGGGAGGCAGCAGUGGGGAAUAUUGCACAAUGGGCGAAAGCCUGAUGCAGCGACGCCGCGUGAGGGAUGACGGCCUUCGGGUUGUAAACCUCUUUCAGCAGGGAAGAAGCGAGAGUGACGGUACCUGCAGAAGAAGCGCCGGCUAACUACGUGCCAGCAGCCGCGGUAAUA
rnacentral:rRNA from 1 species